GGGGUUGUAGCUCAGUAGUAGAGCACUUGCCUAGCAUGUGUGAGGCCCUGGGUUCGAUCCUCAGCACCA
rnacentral:tRNA from 1 species